rnacentral:misc_RNA from 1 species
GAUGAAGAACGUAGCGAAAUGCGAUAAGUAAUGCGAAUUGCAGAUUUCAGUGAGUCAUCGAAUCUUUGAACGCACAUUGCGCCCGCCAGUAUUCUGGCGGGCAUGCCUGUUCGAGCGUCAUUUCAACCAUCAAGCCCCCGGGCUUGCGUUGGGGCCCUGCGGCUGCCGCAGGCCCCGAAAAGCAGUGGCGGGCUCGCUGUCACACCGAGCGCAGUAGCGAUUCUCGCUCCGGGCGUCGGCGGCGGGCACCGGCCGUGAAACACUCUUUCUAAGGUUGACCUCGGAUCAGGUAGGAAUACCCGCUGAACUUAAGCAUAUCAAUAAGCGGAGGA